rnacentral:rRNA from 1 species
UACAGAGGUCUCAAGCGUUGUUCGGAUUCAUUGGGCGUAAAGGGUGCGUAGGCGGUUUGGUAAGUCUUAUGUGAAAUCUACAGGCUCAACUUGUAGUCUGCAUGAGAAACUGCCGGGCUUGAGUAUGGGAGAGGUGAGUGGAAUUCCUGGUGUAGCGGUGAAAUGCGUAGAUAUCAGGAGGAACACCUGUGGCGAAAGCGGCUCACUGGACCAUAACUGACGCUGAUGCACGAAAGCUAGGGGAGCAAACAGG